rnacentral:lncRNA from 1 species
UUGUUUAAUGUCAUUUUUUUUUAUUUUCUCGUAUGUUUUAAUAUUUUAAAUAAUAAAUUAUGUUUUGAUUUUUUAUAAAUAAUAUGCGUAUAAUUAAAAAAGUAUCUUGCGCAUAAAAUUUCCACCAACACAUCCAUCCACCGGCAGGCGAAUAUAGAUAAAAAUAUUGAUUAUUCAAAAAUGUACGAAUAAAUUUUAUCAACACCCGUAUAAUUUUUAGGUACGAUGAUUCACUUUUGCUGGUUGCCCAACCCGCUUAUUUGUCACGUCUAUAAAAUAUUAAGCAAUUCUUAUUUUCA